GUCCCUGUAGUGCAAUGGAUAGCGUGUUGGUCUUCUAAUCCGAAGACCGUGGGUUCGAAUCCUACCUGGGAUG
rnacentral:tRNA from 1 species